rnacentral:rRNA from 1 species
GCACCGAAGAAGGAGAAGGCCCCGGCGGCGUCGUCGAAGCCGUCCAAGUCGGGUGGCGGGAAGCAGAAGAAGAAGUGGAGCAACGCGGUGCUCUUCGACCAGGCCACCUACGACAAGAUGCUCACCGAGGUGCCCAAGUACAAGCAGAUCACGCCCUCCGUCCUCUCCGAGUGCCUGAGGUUAAUGCACCCCCAUCCUCCCUCCCUCCUAGUUUUGUGCCAAUAUUGGUAG